rnacentral:rRNA from 1 species
CAGCAGCCACGGUAAUACGUAGGUGGCAAGCGUUGUCCGGAAUUAUUGGGCGUAAAGCGCGCGCAGGUGGUUUAAUAAGUCUGAUGUGAAAGCCCACGGCUCAACCGUGGAGGGUCAUUGGAAACUGUUAAACUUGAGUGCAGGAGAGAAAAGUGGAAUUCCUAGUGUAGCGGUGAAAUGCGUAGAGAUUAGGAGGAACACCAGUGGCGAAGGCGGCUUUUUGGCCUGUAACUGACACUGAGGCGCGAAAGCGUGGGGAGCAAACAGGAUUAGAUACCCGUGUAGUCCCUGUCUCUUAUAC